rnacentral:rRNA from 1 species
CCCUUAGAUGUCCGGGGCUGCACGCGCGCUACACUGAGGGAAUCAGCGUGCUAGAAAACCUUGUUUGACAUGGCUAGGUAACCCGUUGAAAAUCUUUCGUGAUUGGGAUCGGGACUUGCAAAUGUGUCCCUUGAACGAGGAAUUCCCAGUAAGUGCGGGUCAUAAGCUCGCGCUGAUUACGUCCCUGCCCUUUGUACACACCGCCCGUCGCUGCUACCGAUUGAAUGGUUUAGUGAGAAUUUUGGACUGGAACUCCCUUGCUCAGCAAUGGGCGAGGGGGAGUCCGGGAAGCUAUUCUAACUGUAUCAUUUAGAGGAAGUAAAAGUCGUAACA